GUAUCUGUAGGUCACUUGGUUAGAGCAUGGUGCUGAUAACGCCAAGGUUGCAGGUUCGAUCCCCAUAUGAGACA